rnacentral:rRNA from 1 species
UACGUAGGGUGCGAGCGUUGUCCGGAAUUAUUGGGCGUAAAGGGCUCGUAGGCGGUUUGUCGCGUCGGGAGUGAAAUCCACUGGCUUAACUGGUGGCUUGCUUUCGAUACGGGCAGACUGGAGGCAUGCAGGGGAGAACGGAAUUCCUGGUGUAGCGGUGAAAUGCGCAGAUAUCGGGAAGAACACCUAUGGCGAAGGCAGCUCUCUGGGACGGUACUGACGCUGAGACGCGAAAGCGUGGGGAGCGAACAGG